ACGCGCAGAAGCUAAACGUUGCCGGUACUGAUGACGAGCACGACACCACGAAGAUUAGGGCUGGCCAUCUUGGGUGUUAACAUAUGUGCGUGCGCAUGCUCUAUUGCACGGAGGGUAGUACCUAUAAGAGUAAGUAGAAUGUAGCGAUGUAAGGUCGAACGGCGCAAACUCAGAGGAAAAGGUGGGAGGAGAUUGAAGGGAAAUUAAACCUGCUUCGAGUUGGUACACGUCGAUGUCAACUGGAAGAUGAUUCCCACCACGUAUAGGAGGAAACGUUGCGGGAACGUCGAAAAGUCACACUACGUUGGAAAGUGAACGUUGCCAAAACGUUUUGAGAUAAUACUAUAGCGGAGAGGGGUUUGGGUUAUCGAUUGGGACGUUGAUGCUUCGUAUGUUCGGAUUAUGUAGAUAGCAUAUUCAAAUCCACAAGUGGAGUAACUAUCUGAUGUCUGUAAAGAGAAUUAUAGUUCAAAUAAAGUUUUAAUUAAACUUAAACAUUUUUUAAUGUACACACGUUGCCAAUAGUCAUGUAACAAAAUUUCGAUUCAAUCUUUCGUCGCCUAAACGUUUCCAACGCGCUUUUAACAAGUUGAGAAAACGUUUUUCGCAAAACAUUUUGGCAACGUUUUUAUCGCUUUAGGAGAACGUUCCUUGAUUUUCCCGGAUUAAUUUAGAAGCUGACGAACCGGAACCGGCAUCGCACGAUGCAGCGAGCCAAGAAAAACCCCGCAGCCAAUCAGAGCGCGCAGUCUGCGCAUAUCCCUCUCCUUUUUAAGUCCCACUUGCAUGCCUGUUCCUAUAUUGGCAAUAUAACUCUCGGUCGUGACGUCAUCAACAUGGACGCCCAAGCCACGAAAAAUACAUUAGUAGUAUACAAAGCAAAGUAGUUUUUACUAAUUUUUGACAGAAAAAUAACGUGACAGCUCUUAAAUUUUAUAUAUGUGAUAACGCAUAUAAUUUACUAUAAGAUGAUGGUACUUUUCCCUCCCUGAAAUUGUUAAUAUGUUUUAUUUAGGAUGAUCAAAGCAUUGUAUAGGUUAUAGAGCAACAUGGAAUGUAAUAACCAAAAAGAGGCAGGCAUGCAAUUUUCAC